rnacentral:rRNA from 1 species
ACGGGUGAGUAACGCGUAUGCAACCUACCUUUAACUGGGGAUAGCCUUCCGAAAGGAAGAUUAAUACCGCAUAAUAUUAUGAAGUGGCAUCACUUUAUAAUCAAAACUCCGGUGGUUAAAGAUGGGCAUGCGUGACAUUAGCUAGUUGGUGAGGUAACGGCUCACCAAGGCUACGAUGUCUAGGGGGUCUGAGAGGAUGAUCCCCCACACUGGUACUGAGACACGGACCAG